AGGUGAUGAAAACAGUCCUUUAAAAUAUCAUGCAGAUGAACUAUUUGUAAAAGAAAAAUAAGGGCAAGAGUGGCAUCAGAAGGCAUCAAGAGUGGCAUCAGAAACUAGCAUCAUUGAUCCUCUACCAAGCCCUGCACCCAAAUUGGUACUUACUGGUGACUACUGAAAGGUCCAGAUCCA
rnacentral:lncRNA from 11 species